rfam:Danio rerio chromosome 4, GRCz11 reference primary assembly.
GCCCGGCUAGCUCAGUCGGUAGAGCAUGAGACACUUAAUGUCAGGGUUGUGGGUUAGAGCCCCACGUUUGGCG